rnacentral:rRNA from 1 species
GGUGGGGUGAUGGCCUACCAAGGCGACGACGGGUAGCCGGCCUGAGAGGGCGACCGGCCACACUGGGACUGAGACACGGCCCAGACUCCUACGGGAGGCAGCAGUGGGGAAUAUUGCGCAAUGGGCGGAAGCCUGACGCAGCGACGCCGCGUGGGGGAUGACGGCCUUCGGGUUGUAAACCUCUUUCGCCAUCGACGAAGGUUCUGUGGUUGUGAGGCUGCAGGGUUGACGGUAGGUGGAGAAGAAGCACCGGCCAACUACGUGCCAGCAGCCGCGGUAAUACGUAGGGUGCGAGCGUUGUCCGGAAUUAUUGGGCGUAAAGAGCUCGUAGGCGGUGUGUCGCGUCGGCCGUGAAAACCUGCAGCUUAACUGUGGGCGUGCGGUCGAUACGGGCAUCACUGGAGUUCGGCAGGGGAGACUGGAAUUCCUGGUGUAGCGGUGAAAUGCGCAGAUAUCAGGAGGAACACCGGUGGCGAAGGCGGGUCUCUGGGCCGAUACUGACGCUGAGGAGCGAAAGCGUGGGGAGCGAACAGGAUUAGAUACCCUGGUAGUCCACGCCGUAAACGGUGGGCGCUAGGUGUGGGGGCCAUUCCACGGUCUCUGUGCCGCAGCUAACGCAUUAAGCGCCCCGCCUGGGGAGUACGGCCGCAAGGCUAAAACUCAAAGGAAUUGACGGAAUCGAAUU